CUUCGGGUUGAUAACUAGACAAUGAUUUCGACAACACACGAUCUUUGUCCUUUAAGUGCCCGAUAUAUCAAACUUUUAGCGUAGAACUUACACGUCUUCGGAACCCUUCCAUGAUGUCUGAUGUUUAAUUCGCCGCAACAUAU
rnacentral:snoRNA from 1 species